rnacentral:RNase_P_RNA from 1 species
CCAGUCGGCCGGACAGCCGCUGCCGCUAGCGCCGAAAGGCCGCGGGGGAGGAAAGUCCGGGCUCCACGGAAACACGGUGCCGGGUAACUCCCGGCGAGGGCGACCUUAGGGAAAGUGCCACAGAAAGCAAACCGCCCCGGACCUGGUCCGGAGUAAGGGUGAAAGGGUGGGGUAAGAGCCCACCGCGCACCUGGCAACAGGGGCGGCAUGGUAAACCCCACCGGGAGCAAAACCGAAUAGGGACAGCGCGGGCCUCGUGCCCAGGCCGGUUUCCAGGCCAGUUGUCCGGGUUGGUUGCGUGAGGCGUCUGGCAACAGGCGUCCAAGAUGAAUGGCUGUCGCGUCCGCUUUUGAUCUUCGGAUUUUUGCGGGCCAUACAGAACCCGGCUUACAGGCCGGCUGGCUUU